rnacentral:tRNA from 1 species
GGGCCCGUAGCCCAGUACGGAUUAAGGCGCCGAAUCCAGCAAUGGAUGCGCAAGCCUCCGGACAUAGGGGUUGGAAGAAAGCCGGAGAACCGGGGUUCAAAUCCCCGCGGGCCCG